rnacentral:rRNA from 1 species
CGUAGGGGGCAAGCGUUGUCCGGAAUUAUUGGGCGUAAAGCGCGUGUAGGCGGCCAGAUAAGUCCGCUGUGAAAUCUCGAGGCUCAACUUCGAGCUGUCGGUGGAAACUGUCUGGCUAGAGUCCGGAAGAGGAGAAUGGAAUUCCUGGUGUAGCGGUGAAAUGCGCAGAUAUCAGGAAGAACACCCGUGGCGAAGGCGGUUCUCUGGGACGGUACUGACGCUGAGACGCGAAAGCGUGGGGAGCGAACAGGAUUAGAUACCCUGGUAGUCCACGCCGUAAACGAUGGGUGCUAGGUGUGGGCGGUGUCGACUCCGUCCGUGCCGAAGCUAACGCAUUAAGCACCCCGCCUGGGGAGUACGGCCGCAAGGCUA